GGAAACUGGGGGUAAUUCCAGAUAUGUCAGAACUCCUGGAAUGGGUUCUGGCAGAAAGGCUCCGGCGCCUCAGGAUGGGUCUGCGGCCUAUCAGGGUAGUAGUGGGUGUAACGUACCUACUAGCCUACGACGGGUACGGGUUGUGAGAGCAAGGGCCCGGAGAUGGAUUCUGAGACAUGAAUCCAGGCACUACGGGGUGCAGCAGACGCGAAAACUUUACAAUGCGGGCAACCGCGAUAAGGGGACCUCGAGUGCUGGGUUACAGACCUGGCUGU
rnacentral:rRNA from 1 species